GUACUCUUAAUUUAAUGGUUAAAAUAAUAGUUUACGGCACUGUUUAUAUAGGUUCGAUUCCUUUAGAGUACU
rnacentral:tRNA from 1 species